GAAUAUUGCACAAUGGGCGCAAGCCUGAUGCAGCAACGCCGCGUGCCCGAGGACGGCCUUCGGGUUGUAAAGGGCUUUUCUGGCUGACGAGGAAGGGCGGUAGGCCAGGAAUAAGCGUCGGCUAACUACGUGCCAGCAGCCGCGGUAAAACGUAGGACGCGAGCGUUAUCCGGAUUUACUGGGCGUAAAGCGCGGGCAGGCGGUGGUCCAAGUCGGACGUGAAAGCUCCCGGCUCAACUGGGAGAGGUCGUUCGAAACUGGGCCGCUAGAGGGCAGUAGAGGGGCGUGGAAUUCCGGGUGGAGUGGUGAAAUGCGUAGAGAUCCGGAGGAACACCAGAGGCGAAGGCGGCGCCCUGGGCUGCACCUGACGCUGAGCCGCGAAAGCUAGGGGAGCGAACGGG
rnacentral:rRNA from 1 species